UACAGAGGGUGCGAGCGUUGUCCGGAAUCACUGGGCGUAAAGGGCGCGUAGGCGGCCUGGUAAGCGUGUGGUGAAAGCCCGGGGCUCAACCCCGGGUCUGCCGUGCGAACUGCCGGGCUCGAGCACAGUAGAGGCGGGUGGAAGUCCGGGUGUAGCGGUGGAAUGCGUAGAGAUCCGGAAGAACACCGGUGGCGAAGGCGGCCCGCUGGGCUGUUGCUGACGCUGAGGCGCGACAGCGUGGGGAGCAAACAGG
rnacentral:rRNA from 1 species